AACAUCGUUUCAUAUAAUAAAAAUGAAUUGUAGUUUUAUUUUAAUCACGGAUUAAAUCUAUUUUUAACGGUUUAUGAACGAAAACAUGGUUUAAAUGUUUCCAUAUCUACAUUCUUAAAAUUGCAAUUUUUUCUAUCGAUUGCCUAAAUAUGUAUUAUUACCAUCCUUUAAAUAAACUCGAAAUUUUUUCCACAAGACCACCACGUUAUGUGUUGAAUAAUUCGUUGGCAUUGUAAACGAGUCUGCACUGAUUGUAGCUUUCACUAA